UACGUAGGGUGCGAGCGUUAAUCGGAAUUACUGGGCGUAAAGCGUGCGCAGGCGGUUAUUUAAGACAGAUGUGAAAUCCCCGGGCUUAACCUGGGAACUGCGUUUGUGACUGGAUAGCUAGAGUGCGGCAGAGGGGGGUGGAAUUCCACGUGUAGCAGUGAAAUGCGUAGAGAUGUGGAGGAACACCGAUGGCGAAGGCAGCCCCCUGGGUCGACACUGACGCUCAUGCACGAAAGCGUGGGGAG
rnacentral:rRNA from 1 species